GACGAACGCUGGCGGCGUGCUUAACACAUGCAAGUCGAACGGCAAGGCCCUGCUUUUGUGGGGUGCUCGAGUGGCGAACGGGUGAGUAACACGUGAGUAACCUGCCCUUGAUUUUGGGAUAACUUCAGGAAACUGGGGCUAAUACCGGAUAGGAGCCCCUGCUGCAUGGUGGGGGUUGGAAAGUUUCGGCGGUUGGGGAUGGACUCGCGGCUUAUCAGCUUGCUGGUGGGGUAGUGGCUUACCAAGGCUUUGACGGGUAGCCGGCCUGAGAGGGUGACCGGCGACAAGGGGACUAAGAGACGGACCAGUGUGGAACAGGAGACAGCAGGGGGGAAUAUGGCACAGUGAGAGGAAGCCGGAGACGGAAGCGCCGCGGGCGGAAUGCCGGCCUGCGGGUUAUAAACAGCUUUCGCCUAUGACGAAGCGGGAGUGACGGUAAUGGAUAAAGAAGCACCGGCUAACUACGUG
rnacentral:rRNA from 1 species